GGAAUUAGAAAAGGAAAAAUCAUUGCCUCGCAUGCAGCUGGGGAGAUGGACAGGAGCAGUGGUCACACCUGUCAGUCAUCAAAUACUGUUGGUCCGGCACGUUACUGGUGCUGUGCGAGCGCCCCAAGGCUGACCAGCUUCAUUCCUGCUUGGAGAAUCUGACCUUGUCUUCCAAAAUUCCUGUCUGCUCUGGAAAACAAGCAGACAAGACAUCUUUACUGAGCUAGAAAUUUCUCUUGAAUGUCCCCUCUCUAAUUUACGUUCCCUCUCACUUCAUUGCCUGCAGCAGAGCCCAUUAAUGGUGGCAGUUUGUGACACAACUGAAGGCUCCUCCAAGGGGCGAUUCCACCGCGCUGACUUGGGCGGCAUUUGCUGACAUGGUGGGGCUCAGCUUCUCCCACUCUGUUUCCCAGGCUCCAGAGACUAAUCCUCCCUUUGGCUGGCUCUGCUGCUGCUAUGGCAAUAUUUUCUCCCCCAUCGUGGUAAUCACGCAAUGGUCUCUGAGAACAGCAGGAGAAGCAGUGCCUGGUAGAUGCAUAAAAGAGCUGAUAGAACGCUCAGAAUGAAGGCAGCUGAUGGCAGGGGGACCUUCAGCUUGUCCAGCCUGGCCCCGGCUCCGAGCCCUCUGCUGCACGUGGUGGGCUCAGAGCCCCUCAGAGCCACAUCCUGCCUGGCCCCCCGCCCAUGCCAGCCUCGGGCCCUGCUCUGGCCUCAGAACGGAAGUUCCUGGUGUUCCCGGCCGGUGCUGGAAUGCUGCUUCCACCUCCAGGAAUGCAAAUGAACGGGGUUUGAUCCAAAUUGCAUUUCCUCUCCUAGUCUGGAGUAUGACGGCACAUUAAAACCUGUAAUAUUCCA